rnacentral:rRNA from 1 species
GAUGAACGCUAGCUACAGGCUUAACACAUGCAAGUCGAGGGGCAGCAUGGAAGAAGCUUGCUUCUUCUGAUGGCGACCGGCGCACGGGUGCGUAACGCGUAUCAAACCUGCCUCAUACUCGGGGAUAGCCUUGCGAAAGUAAGAUUAAUACCCGAUGUUGUUAUGUUUCCGCAUGGUGAUGUAACCAAAGAUUUAUCGGUAUGAGAUGGUGAUGCGUCCGAUUAGGUAGUAGGCGGGGUAACGGCCCACCUAGCCAUCGAUCGGUAGGGGUUCUGAGAGGAAGGUCCCCCACACUGGAACUGAGACACGGUCCAGACUCCUACGGGAGGCAGCAGUGAGGAAUAUUGGUCAAUGGACGAAAGUCUGAACCAGCCAAGUAGCGUGCAGGAUGACGGCCCUCCGGGUUGUAAACUGCUUUUAGUUGGGAAUAAAAAAGAGGACGUGUCCUCUAUUGUAUGUACCUUCAGAAAAAGGACCGGCUAAUUCCGUGCCAGCAGCCGCGGUAAUACGGAAGGUCCAGGCGUUAUCUGGAUUUAUUGGGUUUAAAGGGAGCGUAGGCGGAUUAUUAAGUCAGUGGUGAAAGACGGUGGCUCAACCAUCGUUAGCCAUUGAAACUGGUAGUCUUGAGUGCAGACAGGGAUGCUGGAACUCGUGGUUGUAGCGGUGAAAUGCUUAGAUAUCACGAUGAACUCCGAUCGCGAAGGCUGGUGUCCGGGCUGCAACUGACGCUGAGGCUCGAAAGUGUGGGUAUUAAACAGGGUUAUAUACCCUUGUAGUCCAAGGGCGAAUUCCACAGUGGAUAUCAGCUUAUCGAUCCGGUCGACCUCGAGGGGAGGACCAGUAUCCUGCUUUUUUUUCUCUUUAUUAUGGUUUACUUAGG